CAAGCCAGGCUCUCUACUUCCACUUCCCUCCCAAACACGAGCGUGUUUGGGAGGGAAGCGGAAGUAGAGAGCCUGGCUUA